GGGUCAGUGCGCGUAGUUGGCGAUCGCAGCGGUCUGUAAAACCGUGACAAGAGAAACAUCGUUGGUUCAAUUCCAACCUGACCCA
rfam:Oscillibacter sp. 57_20 Ley3_66761_scaffold_260, whole genome shotgun sequence.